rnacentral:pre_miRNA from 1 species
UUCAAGUAAUCCAGGAUAGGCUGUUACCAGGCAGUACGGCCUAUUCUUGAUUACUUGUUUC